UGCGCUGUGGAGCUUGGUUAGUCCCUAUGGCAGUCCUUGUUAGUCAUCCCACGCCAACUCUGGAGGCCUGGUGCAGGAGUUCAGGAUGAGGGCUGAUGUAGCCCCUGGGUUUGGGUCCAGCUUCAGCAUGUUUCUGUAAAGUUUUCUCCUGUAUAGCGGCGCGGUAUUCAGCUAUAGCCUUGGAGUGUAGAGUAGUGUCUCGCUGGUCCAAGAUUCUUUGGUUGGGUGAGUUGUCGGAAUGUUGGGGUUGCUCGGUGGUCCAGCUCCUGUGUGUGGGAGCAGGUGCGUAU